rnacentral:rRNA from 1 species
ACAACGGGUGGAGCUUGCGGUUUAAUUGGAUUCAACGCCGGAAAUCUUACCGGGACCGACAGCAAUAUGAAGGCCAGGCUGAAGACUUUGCCGGAUUAGCUGAGAGGUGGUGCAUGGCCGUCGUCAGUUCGUACUGUGAAGCAUCCUGUUAAGUCAGGCAACGAGCGAGACCCACGCCCACAGUUGCCAGCGUACUCUCCGGAGUGACGGGUACACUGUGGGGACCGCCGCUGCUAAAGCGGAGGAAGGAAUGGGCAACGGUAGGUCAGUAUGCCCCGAAUAUCCCGGGCUACACGCGAGCUACAAUGGUUGGUACAAUGGGUAUCUACCCCGAAAGGGGACGGAAAUCUCCUAAAACCAAUCUUAGUUCGGAUUGAGGGCUGCAACUCGCCCUCAUGAAGCUGGAAUCCGUAGUAAUCGCGUUUCAACAGAACGCGGUGAAUACGUCCCUGCUCCUU